rnacentral:rRNA from 1 species
UACGUAGGGAGCAAGCGUUGUCCGGAUUCACUGGGCGUAAAGGGUGCGUAGGCGGUCGGGUAAGUCUGAUGUGAAAUCUCCAAGCCUAACUUGGAAACUGCAUUGGAUACUAUCCGGCUCGAGGAAUGGAGGGGAGACUGGAAUACUUGGUGUAGCAGUGAAAUGCGUAGAUAUCAAGUGGAACACCAGUGGCGAAGGCGAGUCUCUGGACAUUUCCUGACGCUGAGGCACGAAAGCCAGGGGAGCAAACGGG